UACGUAGGGUCCGAGCGUUGUCCGGAAUUAUUGGGCGUAAAGGGCUCGUAGGCGGUUUGUCGCGUCGGGAGUGAAAACCUCGGGCUUAACUCGGGGCUUGCUUUCGAUACGGGCAGACUAGAGGUAUGCAGGGGAGAACGGAAUUCCUGGUGUAGCGGUGAAAUGCGCAGAUAUCAGGAGGAACACCGGUGGCGAAGGCGGGUCUCUGGGCCGAUACUGACGCUGAGGAGCGAAAGCGUGGGGAGCGAACAGG
rnacentral:rRNA from 1 species